rnacentral:rRNA from 1 species
UACGUAGGGGGCAAGCGUUGUCCGGAUUUAUUGGGCGUAAAGAGCGUGUAGGCGGCCAGACGGGUCCGUUGUGAAAACUCGAGGCUCAACCUCGAGACGUCGACGGAAACCGUCUGGCUAGAGUCCGGAAGAGGAGUGUGGAAUUCCUGGUGUAGCGGUGAAAUGCGCAGAUAUCAGGAAGAACACCUAUGGCGAAGGCAGCACUCUGGGCCACUACUGACGCUGAGAAGCGAAAGCAUGGGGAGCGAACAGG